rnacentral:misc_RNA from 1 species
CCCUAUGAACCAGUUUAUAGUGAUAAGCAAGCAAGGUACAUAUAAUUUCUUAUUUUUUAGGGUACUUAAAAUCCAUAUAAUUGACGCCAGCUGGAUUGAGAUUAAAGUUUAGUUGACUUGAAUGUUUUCUUGAGAUCCUAUUCUAGGAUUCCAAAUGUGUUUUGGACUGAUGAUAGCAAUUCUUUUUUCUCCAUCUGUUUAUGAAAUUGAUAGGUUUUGCUUGCUUCUUUAUAGCUUGCUAGUUGAAACAACUCGAGUAUUCAAAAUUUUGUUAGUCUUCCCAGCUUAUUAUAACCGCAUUAAAAUGUAGUAUAUCAAUUAUUUCAUGUAUCCCUUGGCAUUUAGAGCACUUGAUUUAGUAUAAUAUGGAUUUUUUAAAACCAAAUGAAUGCUUAUGUAUCAUUUGAAAAAUACAAUCAUUCUGUUUAAUUUUUUAACCGAAGUAAUUAGAAAUGUUCAGAUCUAUAAUUGAAAAUUUUAGAUGUUCUUCAGUUUUGACAUUUAGCUGUAUUGACUGACUUAGAGCUUUCUGCCUAAAGUUGUCUUUGGAAUUCACUUACACUCGGUUAUUUUUUAAUGGUUUUUAUCAUUUUUAAACUUGCACUGGAUUUUAAGAGAAUGAAACUAAAAGUUGGAUGAGUACAUUGCAAAAAGUUAUGAGUACAUUAUAACAGUGUUGUCAAAAGCGCUAGGCGCCCUUUAGGCAAGAAGGUCCUCCAUCCUCAAGGCGCUAGGCGAGAUUGAUUAGGCACUUGCCCAAGCGAAGUGCGGGGCUUAUUUAUUCUAAAAUAAUAAAUAAU